AUGGGGGGGAAAAAUCUAGGAAAUUCCCCCUCUCCUUACCUUUUGUUAGUUGCAAAAUAAGCAUGUCUCCAAGAGUAAGGAGUUGCUGGGAGUCAGUUUUGUCUAGAGCCCCUCCCCCACCAAUAGGCAUGGACCACCAUCUCUGCACCAUUCACGCUGCCUGGGAGAUCAGCCGAGGGCAUACCACCUUCACCUCUACAGCAGUCUGUUUGAAUUUCCCUUUGAGGCUCUGCUCCUUUUCUCUUUCAAUCCCUCCUGUUAUAAACUUUGGUUUGAGUUAUAGCAAAGCACUAUCUUGCUAGAGGUUAAUAAAGGAAACUAGAGAAAAACUACAGUCUCCAUAAAACAACCCAAGCUUGCACUGAGCUACCUCCAGGACAGGCAGCAGACAUGCUAAUCAAUGGUGAGAGAGAGUCUGACAUCAAUAAAUUCAAAGACUUCUCCAGGCAAGAACAACUCAGAAGGAACAUUCCAAAAAGCCCAUCGUGCUCCAAUGGAAAGAAUUUGGUUCUGGGUCAGAGAAACCUGGCAUGUGCUGCCAAUCAGCUGUCUGAGCUUGGGGAGGUUACUUGACCUCUCUGAGCUUUGGUUUCAUCAUCUGUAAAAUGGUGAUGGCAUUAACAAUGCUUCGGCAGUAACAAUGCCUAUGAGCACAGUUGACACAAGAUUACAAAGAAUUAAUAUAAAGGGUCCUGUCCCACUGUAUAGCGUGUGGAACUCUGCUCAAUGUUAUGUGGAAGGCUAAAUGGAAGAGGAGUUUGGAGGAGAAUAGAUACAUGUAAGCUAUUGGAACACCACGGACUAGGAACACGGUGGACUCCUCUCCAGCACCGCAGAUCCUGCAGAUCAGAACCCUCCUCCUGUUAUGGCAACCACGUCCACCUCGCCUCUGGCAGCUACAUGUCACCACCAGGUCUCUGCUGUUCCAGACCCCUCUCACCUCUGCUGAGACCAGGAAGCCCAGUUUCUCCUGCCCAUCAACCCUGAUCUACAAAGACAGCCACUAUUGAGCUUUUCUGUGUCUCAGAAGCCCCUCACUAGUGCCUUCCUCAUCGCCUUAAUGAAGGGACGUUCCUCUGAACUCUCCAGGUGAACAUAUCAGGGCCCCUCUCUGAGGCUUUAGUCCUCAAAUACUCUGCCAGGACAGUCUGGCAUCUUCUCUUCAUUCAUGUAUGCCACCAUUUCCCACAAGAUUUAGGGAGCCAGCCCAAACACACACUGGAAUGAAAUCCAGAUGCCCUUGUGAGGAUGCUAGUCCUGAGUCAUGGGAGAAUGCCCAAGAAGCUCUUCUUGAAGUGAGAAAGUGUUAGUCACUCAGUUGUGUCCAAAUCUUUGUGACCCCAUGGACUUUAGCCCACCAGGCUCUUCUGUCCAUGGAAUUCCCCCAGCAGGAGCACUGGAGUGGGCAGUCAUUCCCUUCUCCAGGGGAUCUUCCUGACCCAAGGAUUGAACCCAGGUCUCCUGCAUUGCAGGUGGACUAUUUACCACUGAGUCACCAGGGAUAUAUACAGGUUUAUAUUCUGCCACCCUCUCCUUCAUCCCAUCUCACAUUCUCAAGAUCCAUUCCCAAGCACAUUUCCCUGAUCCCUGUCUGCUUUAGUCAAGUCCCGAGGUUCCUUCAAUGGAAAAUCUCAUUCCUCCCACCAGAAGGAAUGUCCUUCCCCAGCUGGAUCACCCUGAGUCUUGACCCUAAUCAGCCACGUAGAAUAAAUGAGGGGUUGUGGGUGGUGUGUAAAGCAGCCUCCUUGGACGGGGCCUCAGCCUGGUCUCCGAGCACCAGGAGGUUGGCCUCCUCUAGGAAGAAGGAACAGCCUUUUUGGUGAGGGAACCUCAAGCUCACCCAGGGGUGGUCCCCACUGCAGUCUCUGUGACCCACUACUUCCCUGUGAGGAACUUAAGGACAGGAGAUUGCCAGGGUGAGAGACUCAGCCUUUCUGAUGAUUCAACUCAUCAGUUCAACUUAUCCGAUUAGGCCUGAGGCCUGGUUUUCAGCACUUUCUGCCCUCCACCUUCAGGAGAAGAGAAUCUCCUCAAAUGUGUCUUUCAUGCCAAGCCCCAAGUACUUUGAUUGCACUUAACGACCAAUCAGUCCCUACAGUCCUGAUGAUUACCAUGCUUCCCACAUCUCUCAGAUGUUGUCGAUGUUGUAUUAACCCAUACAUACCUUUCCACACGCACCCCAUCCCAAUUCAUCACAGCAGAGUCUAGUAAUCGUGUUGCUAUAGCACCUCCUAUGGCUCUCGAGGCCAGUAUUACUACCUAUGGCAUUCUGGCUAAGUUUCCCAAAGAUACCUCUGGGGAUUUUAUCCAUUGGCCCCCUUAGGUUCACUCCCCACCUUUCUCCAACCUGCUUAUUGGGUGGCCAACAUUUAUGACCUGAAC
ensembl:lncRNA